GGCGCACGGGUGCGUAACGCGUAUGCAACCUACCUCUUACAGGGGAAUAGCUUCCGGAAACGGAAAUUAAUACCGCAUAAUAUAUUUGAAUCGCAUGGUUUAGAUAUUAAAAUUUCGGUGGUAAGAGAUGGGCAUGCGUCCCAUUAGCUAGUUGGCGGGGUAACGGCCCACCAAGGCAAUGAUGGGUAGGGGGUCUGAGAGGAUGAUCCCCCACACUGGUACUGAGAUACGGACCAGACUCCUACGGGAGGCAGCAGUAGGGAAUAUUGGUCAAUGGGCGCGAGCCUGAACCAGCCAUGCCGCGUGUAGGAAGACGGCCUUCUGGGUUGUAAACUACUUUUAUCAGGGAAGAAAACGUCCAUGCGUGGAUAAUUGACGGUACCUGAAGAAUAAGCACCGGCUAACUCCGUGCCAGCAGCCGCGGUAAUACGGAGGGUGCAAGCGUUGUCCAGAUUUAUUGGGUUUAAAGGGUGCGUAGGCGGUUUUAUAAGUCAGUGGUGAAAGACGUCAGCUUAACUGUCGCAGUGCCAUUGAUACUGUAGAACUUGAGUAUAGUUGAGGUAGGCGGAAUUUAUGGUGUAGCGGUGAAAUGCAUAGAUACCAUAAGGAACCCCAAUAGCGUAGGCAGCUUACUAAACUAUAACUGACGCUGAGGCACGAAAGCAUGGGUAGCGAACAGGAUUAGAUACCCUGGUAGUCCAUGCCGUAAACUAUGAUUACUCGAUGUGUGCGAUACACAGUACGCGUCCAAGCGAAAGCGUUAAGUAAUCCACCUGGGGAGUACGCUCGCAAGAGUGAAACUCAAAGGAAUUGACGG
rnacentral:rRNA from 1 species